GUAAUCAUAUCCAAUGCAUUGCAUUGGAAACGCGCCCAUUACCGUGCGCCUAUCUGCUCGUCCGCGGUUUGGACGACUAAUUGCCGACGCAUCAAAAUGUACUCAGUCCGUUCGCGGGUCGUUCGUUCAGUUCGUUCGCGGGUCGUAUUGAAAACAGUGCCGAGAGAGUUACCGAAAAAAGUGUGUCAUCCAGUGUCCAGUGUAGAACAUCGUCGUGGAAGUUUUCACCGGAAAAUCCAUCAAGACGUCUUCGAGUUAUGCGAAAACGAACAGAGACCGUUUAAUCGUGGACAAAUUCUAGUGCUUUACCGCAGUGUUUCCUGUUGUGCGGUAACCAAGUAUCCGUGAUAGUCCUGGACUUAAUACCAACUUUCAAUCGGAUACUCUGGGCUUGGCAUCUAUUGAGUGUGAGUAUUUAGUAGUAAAUAAUGUGUUGAGGAUACUUGUAUUAUGGUAUUUAUAAAUAAAAAUGUUUUAUUAUUACAUGUAAAUGCUUCGAAAAGCCCGAAAUUCAUGUACUCACCUAUACCACUUUUUUUUUUACUGCUCCGAUGCUCCAGGGAAUUUAAUUAAUUUGUCCGAGUUUUUUGUUCAUUAUGGCUGAUUUUUUUUGUCCUUUUUCGCACAUUUAAAGUUUUUAUUCUGAUGUGCACAAUCAUAGUUUUCUUCACUUUUUACACAUUUUGGAUGUGAAUUUCAUUUCACUAAGUUUUUUUUUUUUGAACUUUUUCACUUUGAAAUUCAACCAUUCUGUCUUCUCGAUUUUUUUAUAACUACUAGACUGUUCGAAACGGCGUUUCCAU